UAAAAUUUCAAAAAAGUGCAUUAGAAAAAAACCUGGACAGGAUUAACACAUACCAGAGGCUAAAGUAAUACUCACAAUUAUCUUGCUGGAAAAGAAAAAAUAAACACAAUUAUCUGAAUAAAACCAGAACUCGCAGUGCUUAGAUAGGAGGCAUACCAAUUUGGAUUUGAAUGAGUUACCAAUUCAGUGCUCGGAUAUCUACUUAAGCUGUCAAAACAUUACAUGCUGUGGAAUAUAGUAUAUAUAUUAGAUGGGUCAGAUUUAGGCCAUUUCCUUCCCACAUAUGAAAUAGGAGGUGGUUAAGUAGUGCCCGGAUUUUAAGCUUGUUCAUGGCCUCCCAUAAUCCUAUUCUCAAGUCAUGUGGUAGGAGCCAGAAGAGGAACAGAAGGAAUCAGGAGGAGCAAUUCAUAUGCUUUGUUGUAACUGCCUAUCAGCCUGAUUUUCUCAAUGCUUUCCUCUGACAGAAGCCCUGACAACCAGGCGUGAUAUACAGCAGAUGACUUAAUCACUUGACCACAUCUCAUACUCCAGAUGUUGCCUGAGGUUCUCAUGGACUUGCUACAAGCUGUUGCAGUCUCUCUGCUACUCUGUAACCUCACGUGCUAUUUACCACAGGAUACAAGGGUUUGAAUGCAACUCUUGAGCAUGUGUGUUUGGAAUAGGAUGGGUUUAUCCUUUGACAGGUCAGAAGAAGAACAAUAAACUUUAAAGACAGGCAUAUAAUUUAUGUUUGGACAUCUGGCUCUGUCAUGUGCUGUGAAGCUGAUUCUCAAUUGGGAAGCAAAGAGGCAAAAUUCACCCGAACCAGAAGGGUAACAAAGAAUAUGACUCAGAAAAGAACUUGUGUCUGUGUUUGCAUACUGCUUUUACUGGAACUUGCUUAAACACUGCCAAAUCAGGACUAAAAGCCACUGAAACUGACAGGCACUUCACCUCUACAGGGCUACCUACAUAAUUACACUAAUACCUUAUAAGAGAUUUAUUCCCCUCCUGAGGUAUGCAUUUUCCCUGGUGUUUUAGCAAAGCCUAUGACAGACAUUAUGAUGUGUUAAGUGAACUGCCAAAGAUCCAAAAUAGUUCCAGAUAACAAAGAACACUUUUUCUUUAACGUGCUUUAGAGGAGUAAAAUAAAUAUAUCUGGCAAUUUAAGAGCACCAGCUGAAGUGUUUAUGAAGUUGUACAUGAGCUAUUUGAUUGUAACAGUGUUUAAUUGUAAUUUAGUGGUCUUAUUCACAACCUUCUUGUAUUUUUUUAUGACUUGUUUCUUAUGAGACUGAGCAGUUCACAGUGCUGUGACACUGGGUUACAACAUCACGCAACAAACUGAGAUCUACCUUUUGUUGCUUUAUUUGAUGGGCCAUUUUCUUACGGAGUUCUAGGAAUCAUUUUUCACAAGUACAGACAAGUAUCGGCCUUAUUCAGCCGCCUUAGAGAAACACAGAAGCUGGCUGAGGAAAGUUCCAUUGAGGGUACUGCAAUUGCAAACUGUAGCCAUUAGCUAUUCACUUCCAGAAGAACGCGGAGAUGUAACUAUGGCACAGAUACUGCUAAUAAACAUACCAGAACUUACUCCUCCCAUCAAAUAGCAUUGAAAACAGUUGUCCGUCUUGCAUGACCAAGGUUAGAUAAGUUCAGCACCUGUUGCAGCAAAAUGUGGUAAGUGUUGAGCAUGUUUUCCUAAAGCAGGUGUUGAACUCCCUUGACCCUAUUCACAACAGCUGGACAAAUGGACCGCUGUUCUUCUUCAACAAAGGGUGCAUGUGUGAUCUUGACAUACAGUUGUUUCCAUGAUUUUAAGGAAGCUGAAGAGUAAUGUCUGCUGUUUGCAGCUUAAAAAUUGAGAACUCGUUUGAUAAAGUGGGAAUCAGCCCUGAACACUUUCUCUAAGUUAAACUUGAACUUUAAAAGGAUUGUGAUUGACUAAUUUAGAUUAUUAAUUUAGAUGAUGCCUUUUACAAGGAAACCAGCUCCUAUUCUCUCUGCUGAAGCUCUUUUUUUCAGCCAUCUGGAAACCCAUAGCUGACCUCUUCCUUAAACAUCUCCAGAUGCACUUGUUUUUCAACCUCAACUACUUUUGAAAUCUUUGGCACCCUAACCUCUGUAAUACCAUUCAGCACAAAGAUACUGCUUUCUAUAAGAGUUGUUUCUUGGACAUUUAUAUUGGACAGGCUUCCUUUAUUUCAUACCAGUUCCUUCAGGAAGUGUAAGAGAUUUUUUCCCACUUUAUAAUGUGUUGGCAGUGCAAUGAUAGCGUACUGAGUAAGAAGGUGUAUCAGGGUAGAUGUUUUGCUUUUGAUUUAGGCCUCAAUUCCUCCCAAGCUAAUCAUGUCACCCUUUCCACAGAGAGACAAUACCAUUUUUUGUAAUGUCUUUCAAUGGAAGUUAGUAACUGUGUUGUUCACAAAGUAGAUGCUUGGCUCAAUAGACAAGUUACCCCACCCAUUUAAAGAGUUAAAGUAUAUUAUUAUAUUAAAGUAUAUUAUAAAUACAAAAUUAUACUGGAGAAAAGAAAACAAACAAACAAAAAUGUCAAAAGCCCACAGCUGUAUAUAAACAUAAAACAGUAGUUCUUUAACCUGUUUUCAAAUCAUUAAUACGUUAGCAUUUAUUUGCAAGCAUGAAGUUAGAAGAGCUGCAAAGUGCACAGCAGUGUGUAAUAAUGUUCACAUACAGACAUAUAAAAAUACAGCUAAAGACAAAUGCUCCUAAGAUAUUAAAAGAACAGAAAUACAGUUCCCAAAGCAAACAAUAUUUUAUGGAGUGAAGCUAAUUAAUGCUCUCUUAUUCUAUUUCUUGUGUUCUCCUUGCCCCUAACUACUCACUUGAGAUACAUGGGAAAGUAAUUUUAAUUUCAUUGAUUAAUUUCAUGAAUACCCACUGUGAGCCAUAUCUAAAAAUGAGUUCCUUCAGAAAAUAGAUUAUCAUGAGCAGAGAAUUGCUACUGUAUUUUUCAGCAAGAUGGGGGUUUGAAGUCAGCGCAAUGUGUGGUCUCUCUCUCUCUUCAUACAACUUACCAAGACUGAAAGACCCUUUUUCUGACACUGGCUGUGUGAUUUCAAUCAUGUACCUAAGUUCUGUGUCUGUAAAUGGUGUAUAUAUGUAGAGCAGAAAAAAAUAAUAAAACCCUGCAUAGACUGUAAUGCACUGACUGCAGUCUUUGCAAGCAGGCUCAUAAGUGCUCACCAACGACUGUACACCCAAAGUUAAAUGUGUG
ensembl:lncRNA